rnacentral:tRNA from 1 species
GGGGAUUUAGCUCAGUGGUAGAGUACUUGCCUAGCAAGCACAAGGCCCUGGGUUCGGUCCCCAGCUCCA